CUGGGGAAUGAUACCAUCAUAUCCAGUGAAAAACAGGAUGCAAGUGGGCACCUCCCUGCUCCCUCUUAUCUGGCAAGGCCCGGGAGAUGGGAACAAAGGCAUUUCUGCUGAGAUCCCAAAGCCAGAAGCUGCCACUUCAAAGACAGCUGACCACUUUGGAUUUGAACUGUCACUCCAAAGAGAGCUGACUCUCUUUUGUGGCCUCUUUUGGACUUAUUACAAAUCUAAGUUUGUGCAGUUGCCAUGCCAUCAACCGAACAACAACCCCUGAUGACCCAUCACUACUGAACAUCAAGAUCUGAACUACAAACCAUCCUGGACCCGUGGUGGUGACUACAUCUCUUUUGCUUGCUACAGAGACUGUUGCUUUUAUUUCCCAUCUUUUCUAUCGCCCGUCUUCCCUUCCCCAUCUCCCUAAAUAACUUGGAUUUGUAACAAACUGGACGGGCUAACAUCUAACCCAUUGUGUCUUCAUCUCUCUGUCUGCUGUACAUAUAUUAAAAGAACCUCCCCUUGCUCUGAUAAUGGCAGCGAGACAGUGCCGUCUCCUUGAAGGAAAGCAGAGGUAGAGGGACAGUGGGGACUCUUCCUUCCGAGACCCCUUGGCUCUGGCAGACUACAUUCCUUGGAGCCUUGGAUCUCGAGUUCCUCAUUUUCCAAAGUCACGCUCUCUUCUGGUGGCACGCAGAGCACACCAAAGCCCAGGAUUUGGCAGCAUUUGAAAGGCGUAGCUGUGCGUGAGGCUGGGCCUGGGCCAAGAGGAGACUGUUUCCUUCCCGCUCGCUGCUCCUUUAGAUCCCUGGUGGGAAGAGAAGGGCUUUUUGGGAGGCACUGGCACAGCUUAGGAGCAAAACACUGCAGCUGGGCCACACAGAUAGGGUGGCACCGGCCCCGGGGCCUGAAGGCACAGCUCGGCAUGCGAGCACUGGCCCGGCAACCUGAAGGCACAGCCCGAGAGGCUGGCACCAGCCCUGUUGGGAGCUGUAGGGUAAUUUGGAGGCCUAUAGGGUAACAUAAGGGUAUAGGGAGCUGUGGGAGGCUAAUGGUGAAUACAGUGAGAUAUGGGGCUAUAGGGGAUGUAUGGGGGAUAUGGAUCUAGAAGGGGCUGUGUAGGGCCAUAUGGGGUUAUAGGGUGGGCUAUAAGGGGAUGUGGGCCCCUCCCUGUCCCUCUUCCAUAGCAGGGUAGGUGAAAUGUUAGUCAUGAUAUUUAAAUUAGAAUUGAAAUUGUAUUGGAAUAGAAUAUGACUGUUUUGUGGUCUUAAAUCUGAAUCAUGUUUUCUCUUUGGGCUUCAGGUACAGAUAUUGUUUAAUAAUGACUUUAGAGAAGGUUUCACUAUCCAUUCUCCUAAUCAGGAAGAAAGAAGAAGGUGUUUAGAGGACUUAAUCACAAGUGGAGCUGCUGCUGAACCUCCGCUUCCAAGAAGCAAGCAGGCUGGGCAGACACGGGAAGCACUGCCUGCAGCAGCACCAGCUGAGCCCUGUGUGCCAGAGGAAGGAACGCGGCGUCUGGAGGAGCAGGAGGAGGAGACCCUGCGUGAGUGUGCGUGUUGUGCAGGGCCGUUCCUCACAGACUGCCACUGGCAGACAUUGGGGCAUUGCAGAGCCUCUUGGCGUGGUGGCGGUAAACCGGCGUUGAUCUGUAAUGCCAUGUGAUCUGCGUGCAUGCAGAAUUUCCCUGUGUUUGUAGUUCUCAGAGUUUGUGGCCCUGGUGUGGUUCAAAGAUGUCAGACCUUUGUGCCUCUUUGUUCCCCCUCCAGAGAGUUCUGAAGAGCCCUUCCAUUUUUGAGAAGGCUGCAGGUCCCGAUGAUGGCACAGGCAUUAAACAGCCCGGAGCUCAUUGCUGGGGAGAGGCUGCACAUUGCAUUGUGAAGGGAGAGAUGGAGGAGGAGUUUGAACAGCGUUGUGCAGGAAUGGAAGGCUGGCAGGAGACGGACAGCGGUACUGCAGCUCCUCUGGCAGUUUUGCAGCUAAGUUGGGAAGUAGAAGAUGUGGAUUUGAAAGAACUCAGUUGCUGGGACGUUCCCCUGUUCUUCCCCUAGCUGUUCCCUUGCCUCAGCCCAGAUUCCCCUUGCAUUCCUGUGGUGUCCCUUCCAUCCCCCUGGCUGCCCCUUGUUUUCCCCAAGGUUGCCCUUUCCUUUCCCAUGAAAGUCCACCAAUAAUUCCCUCAGAGCCCCAACAACCCCCUGGUUCAAGUCUCCAUCAUUGCCAUGCAGCACCACAGCAGCCAAGCUCCAGUCCCUUCCCCAGUCUCAGUGGGAUCUGUUUGUUCUGUUCUCAUCCACUUGGAGAAACAGAAGCUUCCUGCCCACCAAAACUUGUGACAGCUAUUUCCCUACAGAAGCAUUCAUGUCCUUCUUGUGGCCCCUUUGGCCAGUUCCCAGCUCUCCAAACUGAAAUGUAUGGCUGCAGCCCACCCCAGGGCUUCUUUGAGGCAGCUCUGGGGCAGCUCUAGGAUGGCUCUGGAGCUGCCCCACCCUGAGAAGGGGAUGCCUUUUCCCCCACACACAGCUGGUUCUAUGGCCACAUGGGGUGAGGACACAGGGUUGUGGGUCACCUGAGGGUCCUGCAGGGUCACAGAUUUAUGGGGUUACGUGGGGAUAUGGAGUCGCAGCGAGUUAUGGGGUCAGAUGGGAUGGUAGGGUCAGAUGAGCUGACAUGGAGCUACAGGUCACAUGGGGUUACAUAGUGGGGGUGAGGUGGGGACAGGGGUCCCAGAGAUCUGGGGCCACAUGGGCCUGCAAUGUGAUGGGGGAAGACAGGGUCAGGGAGUCACAGGGUCAUGUGGGGUGUGGUUCACACAGGGCUGUGGGUCACACAUAUGGGGUUAUGUGGUCAUCUUGGAGUAUGGUGAAUGUGGGGUUACAGCUCAGGGCCCCACCUUUGGGCCACAGGGAACCCAGUUCCCUCUCAGGAAGUGAUGAAACCACUUUAGCACCACCCCACACUCCUUUUUCAGCUAAAACCACUCCCCACAUCCCCCCCAUUCCCCCUGUGUUCCCAUACAACCCCGUACCUCAGAAUCCCACUUGUAGCCCUGUGGAAUAAAGAAAGUCAGCAAAAGAGGGAAGGGCAGAUGGAGGAAGAAAGGAAGGAAUGGUGCAGAGAAAAGAGAGAGAAGUGUG